CUGACAUGUGUGCGAGUCAACAGACUAGAAAACUCGUAAGGCGCAAGGAAGCUGAUUGGCGGGAUCCUUCACGGGUGCACCGCCGACUGACCUUGAUCUUCUAAGAAGGGUUCGAGUGAGAGCAUGCCUGUCCGGACCCAAAAGAUGGUGAACUAUGCCUGAGAGGGGCGAAGCUAGAGGAAACUCUAGUGGAGGCCCAUAGCGAUACUGACGUGCAAAUCGUUCGUCUGACUUGGGUAUAGGGGCGAAAGACUAAUCGAACCGUCUAGUGUCACGG
rnacentral:ncRNA from 1 species